UACGUAGGGUGCGAGCGUUAAUCGGAAUUACUGGGCGUAAAGCGUGCGCAGGCGGUUCGUUGUGUCGGCGGUGAAAGCCCUGGGCUCAACCUGGGAAUGGCAUUGGAAACUGGCGACCUAGAGUGCGGUAGAGGGCAGUGGAAUUCCCGGUGUAGCAGUGAAAUGCGUAGAGAUCGGGAGGAACAUCUGUGGCGAAGGCGACUGCCUGGACCAGCACUGACACUGAGGCACGAAAGCGUGGGGAGCAAACAGG
rnacentral:rRNA from 1 species